UGGGGAAUAUUGCACAAUGGGCGAAAGCCUGAUGCAGCGACGCCGCGUGAGGGAUGACGGCCUUCGGGUUGUAAACCUCUUUCAGCAGGGACGAAGCGCAAGUGACGGUACCUGCAGAAGAAGCACCGGCUAACUACGUGCCAGCAGCCGCGGUAAUACGUAGGGUGCAAGCGUUGUCCGGAAUUACUGGGCGUAAAGAGUUCGUAGGCGGUUUGUCGCGUCGUUUGUGAAAAGCCAGCAGCUCAACUGCUGGCUUGCAGGCGAUACGGGCAGACUUGAGUACUGCAGGGGAGACUGGAAUUCCUGGUGUAGCGGUGAAAUGCGCAGAUAUCAGGAGGAACACCGGUGGCGAAGGCGGGUCUCUGGGCAGUAACUGACGCUGAGGAACGAAAGCGUGGGUAGCGAACAGGAUUAGAUACCCUGGUAGUCCACGCGUAAACGGUGGCGCUAGGUGUGGGUUCCUUCCACGGAAUCCGUGCCGUAGCUAACGCAUUAAGCGCCCCGCCUGGGGAGUACGGCCGCAAGGCUAAAACGUCAAAUGAAUUGACGGGGUCAUAGCUGUUUCCU
rnacentral:rRNA from 1 species